UUGUUGGGCGGCGAGCGGCGGACGGGUGAGUAAUGCCUGGGAACAUGCCUUAGUGUGGGGGAUAACCAUUGGAAACGAUGGCUAAUACCGCAUAAUCUCUACGGAGCAAAGCGGGGGACCUUCGGGCCUCGCGCGCUAAGAUUGGCCCAGGUGGGAUUAGCUAGUAGGUGGGGUAACGGCUCACCUAGGCGACGAUCCCUAGCUGGUCUGAGAGGAUGAUCAGCCACACUGGAACUGAGACACGGUCCAGACUCCUACGGGAGGCAGCAGUGGGGAAUAUUGCACAAUGGGGGAAACCCUGAUGCAGCCAUGCCGCGUGUGUGAAGAAGGCCUUCGGGUUGUAAAGCACUUUCAGCAGUGAGGAAGAGGUGGUGUUUAAUAGAUGCCAUCUUUGACGUUAGCUGCAGAAGAAGCACCGGCUAACUCCGUGCCAGCAGCCG
rnacentral:rRNA from 1 species